rnacentral:rRNA from 1 species
CCCUUAGAUGUUCUGGGCCGCACGCGCGCUCCACUGAUGCAUUCAACGAGUCUAAAACCUGCUCUGAUAGGGGUGGGUAAUCUUUUGAAUGUGCAUCGUGAUUGGGAUAGAUGAUUGCAAUUUUUCAUCUUCAACGAGGAAUGCCUAGUAAACGCAAGUCAUCAGCUUGCAUUGAUUACGUCCCUGCCCUUUGUACACACCGCCCGUCGCUCCUACCGAUUGAAUGAUCCGAUGAAUAUCAUGGAUUGAGGAUGCAAGUAGGUUCGCCUAUCUUCAUCUUCGAGAAGUGAAGUAAAUCUUAUCAUUUAGAGGAAGGAGAAGUCGUAACA